rnacentral:rRNA from 1 species
CCUACGGGGGGCACCAGUGGGGAAUACUGCACAAUGGGCGCGAGCCUGAUGCAGCCAUGCCGCGUGUAUGAAGAAGGCAUUCGGGUUGUAAAGUACUUUCAGCGGGGAGGAAGGCGAGAAGGUUAAUAACCUUGUCGAUUGACGUUACCCGCAGAAGAAGCACCGGCUAACUCCGUGCCAGCAGCCGCGGUAAUACGGAGGGUGCAAGCGUUAAUCGGAAUUACUGGGCGUAAAGCGCACGCAGGCGGUCUGUCAAGUCGGAUGUGAAAUCCCCGGGCUCAACCUGGGAACUGCAUUCGAAACUGGCAGGCUAGAGUCUUGUAGAGGGGGGUAGAAUUCCAGGUGUAGCGGUGAAAUGCGUAGAGAUCUGGAGGUAUACCGGUGGCGAAGGCGGCCCCCUGGACAAAGACUGACGCUCAGGUGCGAAAGCGUGGGGAGCAAACAGGAUUAGAUACCCGGGUAGUC